GAUGAACGCUGGCGGCGUGCCUAAUACAUGCAAGUCGAGCGAACGGACGGGAAGCUUGCUUCUCUGAUGUUAGCGGCGGACGGGUGAGUAACACGUGGAUAACCUACCUAUAAGACUGGGAUAACUUCGGGAAACCGGAGCUAAUACCGGAUAAUAUUUUGAACCGCAUGGUUCAAAAGUGAAAGACGGUCUUGCUGUCACUUAUAGAUGGAUCCGCGCUGCAUUAGCUAGUUGGUAAGGUAACGGCUUACCAAGGCAACGAUGCAUAGCCGACCUGAGAGGGUGAUCGGCCACACUGGAACUGAGACACGGUCCAGACUCCUACGGGAGGCAGCAGUAGGGAAUCUUCCGCAAAGGGCGAAAGCCUGACGGAGCAACGCCGCGUGAGUGAUGAAGGUCUUCGGAUCGUAAAACUCUGUUAUUAGGGAAGAACAUAUGUGUAAGUAACUGUGCACAUCUUGACGGUACCUAAUCAGAAAGCCACGACUAACUACGUG
rnacentral:rRNA from 1 species